AGAACGAACGCUGGCGGCAGGCCUAACACAUGCAAGUCGAGCGCUCCGCAAGGGGAGCGGCGCACGGGAGAGUAACGCGUGGGAACCUACCUUUUGGUUCGGAAUAACAUCGGGAAACUGGUGCUAAUACCGGAUAAGCCCUUCGGGGGAAAGAUUUAUUGCCAAAAGAUGGGCCCGCGUUGGAUUAGCUAGUUGGUGAGGUAAUGGCUCACCAAGGCAACGAUCCAUAGCUGGUUUGAGAGGAUGAUCAGCCUCACUGGGACUGAGACACGGCCCAGACUCCUACGGGAGGCAGCAGUGGGGAAUAUUGGACAAUGGGGGCAACCCUGAUCCAGCCAUGCCGCGUGAAUGAUGAAGGCCUUCGGGUUGUAAAGUUCUUUUGACGGGGAAGAUGAUGACGGUACCCGUAGAAUAAGCUCCGGCUAACUUCGUGCCAGCAGCCGC
rnacentral:rRNA from 1 species